UAUGCCAUUAUUUGUAAUUCGCUUUGGAUAAAAGCGUCUGCUAAAUGUAAGGUA
rfam:Astyanax mexicanus chromosome 10, whole genome shotgun sequence.